rnacentral:rRNA from 1 species
GAACGCUGGCGGCGUGCUUAACACAUGCAAGUCGAGCGGAAAGGCCCUUCGGGGUACUCGAGCGGCGAACGGGUGAGUAACACGUGAGUAACCUGCCCCUGACUCUGGGAUAAGCCCGGGAAACUGGGUCUAAUACCGGAUACGACCACUUCCCGCAUGGGAUGGUGGUGGAAAGUUUUUUCGGUUGGGGAUGGGCUCGCGGCCUAUCAGCUUGUUGGUGGGGUAGUGGCCUACCAAGGCGACGACGGGUAGCCGGCCUGAGAGGGCGACCGGCCACACUGGGACUGAGACACGGCCCAGACUCCUACGGGAGGCAGCAGUGGGGAAUAUUGCGCAAUGGGCGAAAGCCUGACGCAGCGACGCCGCGUGGGGGAUGACGGCCUUCGGGUUGUAAACCUCUUUCAGCAGGGACGAAGUUGACGUGUACCUGCAGAAGAAGCGCCGGCUAACUACGUGCCAGCAGCCGCGGUAAUACGUAGGGCGCAAGCGUUGUCCGGAAUUAUUGGGCGUAAAGAGCUCGUAGGUGGCUU